rnacentral:rRNA from 1 species
GUCCACGCCGUAAACGAUGAAUACUAGGUGUAGGUGGUAUCGACUCCAUCUGUGCCGACGCAAACGCAUUAAGUAUUCCGCCUGGGGACUACGGCCGCAAGGUUGAAACUCAAAGAAAUUGACGGGGACCCGCACAAGCAGCGGAGCAUGGGGGUUUAAUUCGAAGCAACGCGAAGAACCUUACCAGAACUUGACAUCGAGUGAAGAACCCUGUAAUGGGGUUCGCCCUUCGGGGCACGAAGACAGGUGUUGCAUGGUUGUCGU